rnacentral:rRNA from 1 species
CAAGUCGAGCGAGGAGCAAUCCUAGCGGCGAACGGUCGCGUAACACGUAAGCAACCUGCCCCAAAGACCGGGACAACGUUCCGAAAGGAGCGCUAAUACCGGAUGUGGCCUUUCUGUGACAUCGCGGAAAGAUUAAAGCGAGCAAUCGGCUUUGGGAGGGGCUUGCGGCCUAUCAGCUAGAUGGUGGGGUAACGGCCUACCAUGGCGACGACGGGUAGCUGGUCUGAGAGGAUGGUCAGCCGGAUUGGGACUGAGAUACGGCCCAGACUCCUACGGGGGGCAGCAAUUAGGAAUCUUGCGCAAUGGGCGAAAGCCUGACGCAGCGACGUCGCGUGGGGGAGGAAGGCUUUCGGGUUGUAAACCCCUUUUAUCGAGGAAGAAACAAAUGACGGUACUCGAUGAAUAAGCCCCGGCUAACUCCGUGCCAGCAGCCGCGGUAAUACGGAGGGGGCGAGCGUUGUCCGAAGUUACUGGGCGUAAAGCGCGCGUAGGCGGGUUGGUAAGUCCGCUGUGAAAGCCCGGAGCUCAACUCCGGAGGGUCGGUGGAUACUGCCAGUCUUGAAGGUGCUAGGGGGAGAUGGAAUUACCGGUGUAGCGGUGAAAUGCGUAGAGAUCGGUAGGAACACCAGUGGCGAAGGCGGUCUCCUGGGGCAUUCUUGACGCUGAGGCGCGAAAGCUGGGGGAGCGAACGGGAUUAGAUACCCCGGUAGUCCCAGCCCUAAACGAUGGAUACUAGGUGUCGGGGGUAUCGACCCCUCCGGUGCCGCCGCUAA